rnacentral:rRNA from 1 species
UGGAUGCGGGGGCUUCACCGCCUACCAAAUCCUGACAAACUCCGAAUGCCAGUAGAAUGAUUUAGAGCAGUGAGCGGCUGGGUGCUAAUGUCCGGCCACGAGAGAGGAACAACUCAGACCAGCAGCUAAGGCCCCGAAGAGUAUACUAAGUUGAACUAACGAUGUGCGACUGCAGCGACAGCUAGGAUGUUAGCUUGGAAGCAGCUAUUCAUUUAAAGAGUGCGUAACAGCUCACUAGUCGAGCGGUUGUGCGUGGAUAAUAAACGGGCAUCAAGUGUAUUGCCGAAGCUAUGGGAUCGAAAGAUCGGUAGGGGAGCAUUCCAUCGACGCAGAAGCCGGAUCGUAAGGUCCGGUGGAGUUUAUGGAAAAGCAAAUGUAGGCAUAAGUAACGAUAAUGGGGGCGAGAACCCCCCACGCCGCAAGACCAAGGAUUCCCCGGCAAUGUCAAUCAGCCGGGGGUCAGCCGGCCUCUAAGGCUCACCCGAAAGGGGAUGCCGACGAGAAACGGGUUAACAUUCCCGUGCUUCUCGUCACCGUGACGCGGUGACGGGGUGAUGAAUGGACCGCGCGCUGACGGAAUAGCGCGUUGAAGGCCGUACCCGAUGAGGGUGGUAGUCAAGCACGCCACCCGAGGCGAGAGCCGAUAGUACCACGAGACCCCGGUCGAGUGGAUAGCGUCCAGGCAAUUUACCCCCUAGAAAACCCGCUAAACUUCAAGUGACGAGGAACCGUACUGUAAACGGACACACGUGGUCGGGUAGAACAUACCAAGGCGCUCGAGUGAUUCAUGGUCAAGGAACUAGGCAAAAUAGUCCUGUAACCUCGGGAAAAAGGACGCUCUAGUGAUAGAGCCGCAGAGUAAUGGCCCAGGCGACUGUUUACCAAAAACACAUGGCUAUGCCAAAUCGAAAGAUGACGUAUAUGGCCUGACACCUGCCCGGUGCCGGAAGGUUAAGAGGAGAGCUCAUCGGAAACGAGAAGGUUUGAAUUGAAGCCCCGGUAAACGGCGGCCGUAACUAUAACGGUCCUAAGGUAGCGAAAUUCCUUGUCAGGUAAGUUCUGACCCGCACGAAUGGCGUAAUGAUUUGGGCACUGUCUCGACAGCCCGCCCGGCGAAAUUGUAGUACUGGUGAAGAUGCCAGUUACCCGCAACUAGACGGAAAGACCCCAUGGAGCUUUACUGCAGUUUAAUACUGGGAAUCGGUAAUGCAUGUACAGGAUAGGUGGGAGACUAGGAAGCAUGGUCGUCAGGUCAUGUGGAGUCACCGGUGGGAUACCACUCUUGUAUUGCUGAUUUCCUAACCUGCGGCCGUGAAUCCGGUCGGGGGACACUGUUAGACGGGCAGUUUGACUGGGGCGGUCGCCUCCAAAAGAGUAACGGAGGCGCUCAAAGGUUCGUUCAGCACGGACGGAAAUCGUGCAUUGAGUGUAAACGCAUAAACGAGCCUAACUGCGAGACCGACGGGUCGAGCAGUAACGAAAGUUGGAGUUAGUGAUCCGGUGGUAUGUGAGUGGAAAUGCCAUCGCUCAACGGAUAAAAGCUACCCUGGGGAUAACAGGCUGAUCUCCCCCAAGCGUCCACAGCGACGGGGAGGUUUGGCACCUCGAUGUCGGCUCGUCGCAUCCUGGGGCUGUAUUCGGUCCCAAGGGUUUGGCUGUUCGCCAAUUAAAGCGGCACGCGAGCUGGGUUCAGAACGUCGUGAGACAGUUCGGUCCCUAUCUGUUGCGGGCGUAAGAGAUUUGAAGGGAGCUGUCCUUAGUACGAGAGGACCGGGAUGGACGUACCUCUGGUGCAGCAGUUGUCCUGCCAAGGGCAUAGCUGGGUAGCUAUGUACGGACGAGAUAAACGCUGAAAGCAUCUAAGCGUGAAACUCCCCCUAAGAUGAGAUCUCUCAUCCUUUAUGGAGUAAGGGCCCAGAAAGACGAUCUGGUUGAUAGGCCGGAGGUGGAAGUGCAGUAAUGUAUGGAGCUGACCGGUACUAAUAGCCCGAGGGCUUGACCUA